rnacentral:lncRNA from 1 species
UAGUUUUGAAAAUAUUUGAUGUUGUAUUACUGUGAUCCAUUGGUUGGAGUUCCAUGAUUUUGUUUCUUACUAUUUUUUUUAAGCUUGAGUUUUGUGAGCAAAAAAAAAUCUGUAAAUUUAUUUUUUACUGUUGUUGAUUAUAUGUACAAAAUACCGCGAACAAAUCUCUCUUCUUCUUUUUUGUUCUUCUGCAUUUUGUUUAUAACAUUUUUUGGAUAAUCUUUAUGUUUACCACUUUGUUGGUAUCAUUAUUUAUGAUUAACAUCACUAAAAAGACAUAUUUAAAAAUAUAUAUUCUUCAUUAAGAGGUAAAAAACUCUUAUACUUUGCUCUAAAUAAUAAAUUAUCAUGGCUUGUGUCUCGAGAUGAGAAAACGCAGGAAUAUAAAAAAUUCAAAAAUAAGCAAAAGCAUUCCCAAUGUCCUUUUGUGUGAAGUAGGGGCGGGCGUUCGGGUUCGGUUCGGGUAUAUUCGGGUUUCGGAUUUUCGGGGUCAAAGAUUUCAGCCCCAUUCGGGUAUUUCUAAAUUUUGGUUCGGGUUCGGUUUGAGUUCAGAUAACCCAUUAAAAUUAUUAUUUUUUAAAUUUUAA